rnacentral:lncRNA from 1 species
AGGGGGUGCAAAACAAAUAUGAGUGGACCAAGUUCAUAUAUACAGUAAUAAUAAAACAGUUAUCAAGAUACUAACCCCCACAGUUUAUAUACAGAAAACUACUAGCAUAAUAAGUGAUAGGUUUACUGAAAACCCUAGCAAGCCAAAAACAUCUCUAAAGACAUCGCAGAAAUCAAAACAUCAAACGUCUCACAGAUUGUCUCGUAAGCGCGGUGUGCUGCCAGUAAAAUCACUGAAUAAAUAUAACUCCCGGCCCUAUGCCAACAUCGUGGUCUCUGCGCCCGUAGCCAAAGAUUACCAACUCCCGGCCCAAUGCCUGCUCCGUGUCCCUCAGCUUGUAGCUAGGGAUUAUUUCUCCCCGCUUAUCUACCAACACCAAAUCCUCACUCUAGGCGGCAUAGUGUCCACUAGGUAUGCACAAAUAGUUACGCCUCUCAUAGAUAACCACUUCAUGGUAUAAAGUCAUCCAUCGUCUAUAUUAUAAAGAGGGGUUUCUAAAACAUGUUCUAGCAUCCUAUCGUCAUCCAUCAGAUAGUCUACUAGUUCAUGGUUUUUUAUAGAAAAUACGAUAUAUCAAACUAUAGCUCAAUAUAGGCUAAUAAUUAAUUUCUCACCAAAAACGAGACAAUAAACAACAUAUUCCAUAAACAUGCUUAACAUAAAAUCAGUUCAUAAACUCGUAAGGCAUGCUAUUCAUUUAUGCAAUUAAACUAUGAAAUCAUGUAAUUUUAGAAGGGGUCCACUCACAGUACUUCGUCGCCGAAGAGUCACACAGCUAGCGAAGACAGAAACGCCACUAUAAUUGCCCCUAAGCAUAUAAAGAGUCCAAUUAAUAAAACUAUAUAAUAGAAAUUGAAUUUGGGAAAGCGAACGUUGGAAACAGAUUCAGAAUGUCUAAGUACUCUAAGAAGGGUCCCAGAUAAAUUUCGUAAAAUGUCAACAGAAUAUCCCUAGAAUAUUCUAAAGAAUAUUCCCUGGCAGAAUAUUCUCUAAUGGAAUAUUCCCUGAUGGAAUAUUUCCAAUAAAAGGUAUGGGCCGGUUAGGGUUUAGCUAAUUAGGUGGGCUAGGUUUAGAGGAGAGGGCUUAGGGCCCUGGUUCAAAAGGCUCGAAGGCUUUAAGCUUAAG